GCUGAGAUCAAAAGACAGACAAAAGCAAAUAAAAUAAAGCCUCCUAAAACUGUCUGUUCUUUAAACUUGUGACACAAGUCUUCCUUCAAGGGCACCCUUGAAAACGUAUACGGUAGCAAAAAGUCACUUGCUGCUAAGAUUGACACAUUCUAUCACCCAAACCAUCACAAGGAGGAAACAAUCUUCUCUGAAGUCAACCCCCUAGGGCUUCUUUUUAUAUGAGUUGCUGGUACACUAGAAAUAAUGCAUACAGAAAAGGCGGGGACUGCAUUUUUGUUGUUGUUUAAAGAAAUGACACAAAAGUAAUUUAAUAUUAAAUCAAGAUGGCAACAUUGUAUUAACUCCACUGGUUGAACCUGCCCAUGCACUGAGAAGUAAGAGAUUACAUGAAAGGGGUCCCUGCAAACUGAACCAAAGGAUAGCAACAGACAAUGCUCAUUUGUGAUACAGCAUUUAUGUCUUUAUAGUAACAAUAGCAUAGGGAGAGAUGGUAUAGUUGGCAUCAUAGCUUUCAUGUGAAAGAUUUUGGAUGAUGAGAGGGAUAAAGUGAUACAAAGGCUGUAUUUCUUUAUAUCUGAAAUCCUACAGAAGUCCUAACACUAUUUCCAAUAGCUUGAUUCUGAGUCCUUUAAAUAUUUGACAUGUAUAUUUUCCUCAAAGAUUAUCUAAAGAUACACUAGUGGAGGGAUUUAAGCUACACAUACCUAUAUAUAAAAUCAGAUAAAAAUCUGAUUAUUUAGCAUUGUAUAGGCAGAAGAGAUUGGGGCUGAUAUUCAGCAUAUUGUUUUAUUAUCUCAGAGAAAGUCUUACUUUCCCUUUUGAAAUAUGGCAAGUUUGAAAUUAAUAAUUAUGCAUUUUCAAGAAAAGAAAAGUAUAGUUUUACGGAGCAACCAAGAAAAGUAGGUAAUUCCUAGCCAUACUUUAUAUAUUAGCUGUUUUAAGAAAUUUAGGGGAAAAAAUUCAUAUUUGUCAUUAGACAGUUACCAGUGCUUUGCUCAAUGGGAAGGAAAGAGUUAACUGCAGUCCUACAAACCAUUUACUCAGUAUCUGGCAUUGUGUAACCAAAAGAAAUGAAGAGCCUCAACUACAUCUCCUCAUAAAGAUACUAAUGCAAUAACCCCGCACCCUUUUCCCACCAGACCUCCUGGUCAAAGUGCUAAUGUUAUUUACUAGCGGACACUGGACAGUUAUCAGAGUUACAACCCGUUAAAGUUUUUAAGCAGCUUUUACCAGAUAUGGUUAGAUACUUUAUUUGUAAGUCAACUUGAAAGUUAUGAGUUCGUAGGGAAUGGCUGGCUGGAGCAUGGAAGCUAGUCAAGUAAGCUGUGUAUUAGUUGGGCAUGGUUGGGCGUGCCUGUGGUCCCAGGUACUAGGGAGACUGAGGGAAGAGCAUAACUUGAGCCCAGGAGGUUGAAGCUGCAGUGAGUCAAUUAUUGCACUACUGCACUGGAACCUGGAGGACAGAGCAAGAUUCUGUCUCAAAAAUUAAAAAAAAAAAAAA
rnacentral:lncRNA from 1 species